GGAUAACCUGCCCUUGGGUCCGGCAUAACCCCGGGAAACUGGGGAUAAUACCGGAUAACGCACAUAUGCUGGAAUGCUUUAUGCGUAAAAUGGAUUCGUCUGCCCAAGGAUGGGUCUGCGGCCUAUCAGGUAGUAGUGGGUGUAAUGUACCUACUAGCCAACAACGGGUACGGGUUGUGAGAGCAAGAGCCCGGAGAUGGAUUCUGAGACAUGAAUCCAGGCCCUACGGGGCGCAGCAGGCGCGAAAACUUUACAAUGCGGGAAACCGUGAUAAGGGGACACCGAGUGCCAGCAUCAUAUGCUGGCUGUCCAGGUGUGUAAAAUACACCUGUCAGCAAGGGCCGGGCAAGACCGGUGCCAGCCGCCGCGGUAACACCGGCGGCCCGAGUGGUGAUCGUGAUUAUUGGGUCUAAAGGGUCCGUAGCCGGUUUGGUCAGUCCUCCGGGAAAUCUGACGGCUUAACCGUUAGGCUUUCGGGGGAUACUGCCAGGCUUGGAACCGGGAGAGGUAAGAGGUACUACAGGGGUAGGAGUGAAAUCUUGUAAUCCCUGUGGGACCACCUGUGGCGAAGGCGUCUUACCAGAACGGGUUCGACGGUGAGGGACGAAAGCUGGGGGCACGAACCGGAUUAGAUACCCGGGUAGUCCCAGCCGUAAACGAUGCUCGCUAGGUGUCAGGCAUGGCGCGACCGUGUCUGGUGCCCGCAGGGAANCCGUGAAGCGAGCCACCUGGGGAAGUACCGGCCGCAAGGCUGAAACUUAA
rnacentral:rRNA from 1 species